UCUUUCAUCUGUAAAUCACAAAACUUUUUUAAAAAGUUACAUUCUCAAGUGAACUUUAAAAAUUGGUGCCUAUCAGCCCAGAUAAUGUAUUGAAAGUGUGAACUCCCAUGUGUGAUACUGUCUAUGCCACAAUGUUUAGACUGAUUCAAAUAAAAAAAAAUGAAUUUACAGAAUCUUACAUGGAUUCAUGCAGUGUUUUUAGCAAAGUACAAUGUAACUCUGCAAGUACAAAUUCACCCCACAAAUAUAUAUGUGUGUGUGUGAGUGUGGUGGGGUUGGUUGUGAGUGUGUGAGAGAGUGGGUGCAUGUGUGUGAUUGUGAGUAUAAAUGGGUAUAAGUCUGUGAGGGGUGCACGUGUAUAUGUAGGAGUGUGUGUGUAGGAGUGUCUGUGUGUGUAUAGUGCAAUGGGGUCACCUGUAGUGUGACAUGAACCCAAGGUUCCUGGUUGAGGCCAUCCUCAUGGGUACUGAGCUUGGCUAUCUGCCUCUGCUCGGCCACUUUUCGUUGCUGCCUGUCCUGAAGUCCACCUUGGAGGAUGGUCACUCGAACGUCCCGAGUGCUGAAGUGUUUUCCGACUGGGAGGGAACAUUCCUGUCUGUUGAUUGUUGUGCGGUGCCCAUUCAUCCGUUACCGUAGCCUCUGCACGGUCUCACCAAUGUACCACGCCUCAGGGCAUCCUUGCCUGCAGCGUAUUAGAUAGACAAUGUUGACGGAGUCGCAUGAGUACCUGCCAUGUACAUGGUGUGAUGUGUCCCCACGCAUAACUUGUAGAGUUACAUUGUACUUCGCUCAAAAACUGCAUGAAUUCAUGCAAGAUUCUGUAAAUUCAUUUUAGAUUACUUACAGUGUGGAAACAGGCCCUUCGGCCCAACAAGUCCACACCGACCUGCCAAAGUGCAACCCACCCAGACCCAUUCCCCUAUAUUUACCCCUUCACCUAACACUACAGGCAAUUUAGCAUGGCCAAGUCACCUAACCUGCAUGUUUUUGGGCUGUGGGAGGAAACCGGAGCACCCGGAGGAAACCCACGCAGACACGGGGAGAAUGUGUAAACUCCACACAGUCGCCUGAGGCGGGAAUUGAACCUGGGUCUCUGGCGCUGUGAGGCGGAGAUUUUUUAGAUUAGAAUCAGUAUCAACAUUGUGACACAGACACUAUCACAUAGGGGAGCUCACAUUAUCUGGGCUGGCAGACACCAAUUGUUAAAGUUCACUUGAGAAUGUAACUUCUUGGGAAAAAAAAGUUUUGUAAUUUACAUAUGAAAGAACUGAAACCAACAUGGUCAUUCUAACAGAUGAGAGACUUAACAAACAAUCCAGGUCUUUUUCAAUAUAUAAUUUCAGUUACACCACACCGUAAACAUUUGCUAUAAAUUCCAUGUCUUACAAUCUUAUACUCCACAACCACCUGAUGAAGGAACAGUGCUCCAAAAGCUAGUGCUUCCAAUUAAAUCCAUGGGAUGUUGUGUGAUUUUUAACUUUGUAAACCCAUAGAGAGAGAGAGAGAGAGAUUAACACAGCAAGAGAAGGGACUCCCUCAGAGACAACUCCUGGACCCGAUGGCAUGAAGCAAAAAGAUAUUCUAGUAAUUUAUGCAAGGGAUGCCAUGCAUCUCCCCAGGUUCCUUUCUCUAUGGCUAAAAUCAUCUGUGACUCUGGACUCCCUCCAAGUCAGCAGACAAAGACAGCUUAACAGAUAUUGACAACUGGAGGCCAAUCACAAAUGGAAUGAUUUUACUUCAACUUUUCAUCUAAUGCAUGGCCAAGAGGCUGAGGGAGGCAUGGAAUCAAGAUUUAGACAAAAGGGAUUCCUAGCAAUAACCUCCAGCUGCAAUGUGAAUAUCACUAUUUUAGAGAAUAUCAUUAAAGCAGCAAAAAAGAACAGGAAGGAUCUUUCAAUUGUUUUUAUCAAUUUGAUUUAGGCCUUUGAUUCAGUAGAACAUAAGCUACGUUUUCUAAUGCUUGGGGCAGCAUGGUGACUCAGUAGUUAACAUUCUACUUUACCAUCUUUAAGUAAGUCUAAGCAUUUUACUAUUUUAAUUAAUUUUAGUCAAUAAAGUUUAAUAUUUUAUUCAAGUAUGUAAAGGUGGAGGGUAAUACAGCAGUAUUAUUGUUUGCUUGCACUGUCAACAUGGCAAAUGAUGUUAAUGUUUUCGGACUAUUAUCUAACCAGGUGGUGCUGCCUGGCUUCACAAUCCUUUUGUAUAAGAUCUCUACACUUGGUGAAAAGCCUUUUAUGUCCUUUUACUGUUCUCUUUAAUACCGUAACUGUGGGGUAGCUAUAAAUAGCUAAAACCAGGCAGAUGCACUUAAAAUUUAAAUGCUUUAAAAUAGCCAAAUGCCUCGUUACCUAAUUAGUGACACACAAAUGGAUGAACAAAAUUUCUACUGUUUCUUCCUACUAUCUAUAAAACUGCAGCUAAGGAAAUGGGCUUGUCAGAAUCAGCAGGGAAAGAAGACCCUGUUGAACUUAUCUCUAGUCUGGUACUGUAAAAAGACAUGAUAGGUGUGGAAUAAGUGCAUGGCCUUGGCUGUGUAAAAUCCCACUAUUAUCGUUUACUUACCCGGUGAGAUGGGGAGCCAUCUGAUCAGAAGUGCCCAGGCGCAACCCGCUCCAGGGACAGUGGCAGCUGGCGCGUUUGACUGGGGCGAUACACCUGUCACACUGUAACAAGGUGAUCUCAAGGAGGACAGAAACCUCACGUGGAGCAGAAAGGCAAAAGCUAGUUUGAUCUUUAUUUUCGGCAGAAAUACAGACCUUGAAAGUUGGGCCUCACGAUCCUUCUGACUUUUCAGGUUUUAAGCAGGAGGUGUCAGAAAAGUUACCACAGGGAGAACUGGCUUGUGUUCAUUGCGACAUUGCUUUUUGAUCCUUCGAUGUUGGCUCUGUCAUUGUAAAACAACAUUCAUCGAGCAUUGGAUUGUUUACUAACUAACAGGGAAUGUGAGCUGGGUUUUGACCUUUGUGACACAGGUUAGUUUUUCCUUACUGAUGAUGUGUUGUUGUCGUAGUAAUCCUGCUCAGUACGAGAGAAACUACAUGUUCAAACAUUCAUUGUAUGUGCUUGGCUGGGGAGCCAAUGGUACAAAGUUACUACCUGUGGUAUUGUUACUGAACAAGUGUAAGUCAGAAUUCCACCUAAACAUAAUGAUAUCCUUGUGCCUCAGAUUAUUAGCUAGCCUGGAAAUAACAGACUCCGGUCGGUGUAUACUGCUGCUUGAUUCAGAGCAGAAGCGUGGUUAGACAGGCGCUACCUCUGUCUCCUGAACGUACAGCAUGUUUGU
rnacentral:rRNA from 1 species